ensembl:lncRNA
GCACUGAAGGCUUGUUGAAUGGGCGCUUCAGAGGCAAGUUUUUAAGAGCGUCAAAUGCCAAGAAAACAAUGAUGUUUAUUUUCUCUCCCAGAUCUCUGCCCUCCCAAGAUCGUCCACUGCUGGCUGCCUCUGGUGAUUAUCUGAGCACCAAGAAAGUGUUGCCUCUCUUCUGAGACACCUGCACGGCCACAAGGUCAAGACGGGCAGCUUUCCGUGGUGUGGGCCUCUCCGACUGCGCUGCAUGCUGUAGGAAUUGGGGACCAAGUAAUGAGACUUGUUCUCUGGCUGGAUUAUAUUUGCUCCCGGAGCAUCUCACGCAUUCCACUGACGUCACAGAAGAAAGAAGUGAAGCUGGAGAAACCGUGACCCCCCUGUAAGUGGCGAUAUUUUCAAUCAUCUGGGCAGCUAGAAAUGUAUGUGUAUCAAACACAUCCUUUCUUACUAAGCUUAACCCACAUGUACACGUUUUAGGGAACUGAGGGCUCCUGAGUGAUUUUAUGUAUUAUAAUUAUUUUUUCCUUGCCUAGUUCCAAAAGUCCCUGUUUCUAGCAGGUGGUAUUAAAAGUGACAUUAUUGAGUUCCCUGGUGGCCUAUGGAUCCAGCGUUGUCACUGCGUGUCAAAGGUUCUGUCCCUGACCCAGGAACUUGCGUGUGCCGCGGGCCGGGCCAAAAAAAAAAGUCUCAUCAUUGUUUGGCUUUUGUUCAAAUGCCCUCUUGUUCCCAGUUAAUUCAUUCAGCCCCACUGAACACUUAGCCUGUGCUGGUUGGUAAUGCGAGCCCAAGGCACCAGGUUCUCGCCCUUGGCCUCCUGUCCACCUCUUGUCGAGACAGUUGUCUUAGUCAGUUACCCGGCACUGUGAGGUAGGCUCGAAGGGACCCAUGUGCUACGUGUGUUGGGACGUGCAGGGGAGGGGGGGAGCCUGAGUCUGGGGGCUGGUUAGAGGGGCGAUCCGGGUGGAAAGGAUCAUUUGGGACAGGACUUAGGAGGGCAGGAAGCGGUCGCCCUUGGUGAGACGAUGGCGCGCACACACACACACACACACACACACACACACACACACACACAUUCUAAGCAGAAAGAACAUGUUGCUGCCGUGUGAUGACCAGGACCCAUGCGGCUUGCUGAGACAAGGCCAGCAAGGUAGUUUGGUGUGGCUCGGGGCAGAGAGAGGAUUAUGGAGACGGUAGGAUGUGAGCUUGGGGAGAGCCAGGGACAGCCUGGCGGGCGGGACCGAGGAAGUUAGCCUUUAUUCUGUAGGUGACGGGGAAGAUGGUACCAUCAGAUCUUUGCUUUACAAAAUUUGCUGAGAAGAGAGAUGGAAUCAGCUGGGCGCAGCAUGGGGGUGGGUCAAAGUGGAGCAUGAAGUCGGUCCCCGGCACAGAGGAGAUGCUCGGUCCAGCAGGAGGUACGUUCAGGAGGGCCCUGUAAUGAACAGUUCGGGGUCCAGAGGAUGAGGGUAUGAACCAAGACAGAGACCGUGGGGAUGAAAACAGGAGGCUAGAUUGGAGAGGGUUGGUUUGUUUUUUUGUUUUUGUUUUUUCUUUUUCUUUUUGCAGCCACACCUGCGGCACAUGGAAGUUCCCAGGCCAGGGGUCACAUGGAGCUGCAGCUGUGGUGACCUAUCCCGCAGCUUGUGGCAACACCGGAUCCUUAACCCACUGAGUGAGGCCAGGGAUCAAACCCGCAUCCCUCACAGAAAGUACAUCCAUCCAGUCCUUAACCCAUUGAACCACAGUGGGUACUCCUAUAGAGGAUUUUAAAAGACCUCUUAAAGAGGAUAUGCUGGUGAAUUGUGAAUGGAUGGCGAGGAGGGAGGCGCAAGCUUACAGCUAAUAAUAGCUUAUCUAUCAACCAACAUUGCGAGUGCUUUGCCUGCAGUAUCUCACUUAAUCCCUUAAGAGCCAAAUGAGCAGGGUUGUAUUAUUAUCUGCAUUAUAUAGACAAGGAAGUUGGGGCCCGGAGUGGUCGAUCAAAGUGACGAGGCAGGUACAUUGUGGUGUGGUUAGGAUUUGAACCCCAGGGAGGGAGAUGAAAUGACCACCCUACGAAGCAGUGAAAGAGUGGCUGGAACCCCCUGGAACCACCUACUGCUCCCCAAAGUCACAAACAGGCUGCCCCGGCACCACAUCAUGCCCCAGGCAUGGAGUGUUUGCCCCAUAGAAUAUUCUUAAAACAGUUUUUAGGACUAAUUGCUAAUGCUUAAAAAUCUAGAGUUCCUAUUGAAAACCUGGGUUUCCAGUUUUUCUUGAAAAGUAAGAUCUGGCCGUACUGAGUCCAUAUAACAACCUGCCGCCUGCCUGCAUUGCCUUCCGCUGGGGCCUCUGCUCUGCAGUUGGCCAGAGCCCACCAGCUGCCUGGGGUCCCUGCCCACCUUUGCAGGUGCCUGAGUUUGCAGGUUCAGUUUGAUGCCAGGCUUACUUAUGCGCUGGAUCUCUUGUCAAGCUCAGGCCUCCAUUGAUGGCCAAAUGCUCUUUUUGAAUGUUAGGGAAUAGAAGAUAAAAACAAUAGCAUUUUUUUUUCUUUUUCCUUUUUUUUUGAUUUUUAGGGCCACACUCAUGGCAUAUGGAGGUUCCCAGACGAGAGGUGAAACUGGAGCUACAGCUGCUGGCCACAGCCACAGCCACAGUAACAUCAGAUCUGAGACGCAUUUGCGACCUGCGCCACAGAUCACGGCAAUGCCAGAUCCUUACCCACUGAGCGAGGCCAGGGGUUGAACCUGCAACCUCAUGUUCCUAGUCAGAUGCAUUUCUGCUGCGCCACGAUGUGAACUCCCAUUUUUUCUUUCAUGCUGUUGGAAUGGAGAAAAAUCAACACCCCCCCACCCACCCCCCGUGCUCAAGUGGCCACAGGGAGGAGGGUUACAUACAGGCAGGGCAGGUCAAAGUCACAGUUCCCCAAACCAGCACCCAUUAAAAUGAAAUGUCAAUCAUACCACGGAAAAUGGCAGGAAUGGUGGGGGCUCUACAAAUAAUGCUGUGAUUUUUUUUCUGUUUAAUUUGUUUUGUAGUUAAUAAUUUCCGUGAAUGUUGAGGUAUGUACUUUGAACACAUUAUAAGGAAGCUUCUAGAGAAAAUACAUGUGCGUGUGUGUAUCAUAGCUUACAUAGCUUGGAAUUCUCUGUAGAAAUUCAAUUUCAGAACAUUUUUGAAAAGUUUUACGAUUUACUGGAGUUCCUGUCAUGGCACCGUGGAAAUGAAUCCGACUAGGAACCAUGAGGUUGCGGGUUUGAUCCCUGGCCUUGCUCAGAGAGUUAAGGAUCCAGUGUUGCCGUGAGCUGUGGUGUAGGUCGAAGACAUGGCUCGGAUCGGGUGUUGCUGUGGCUCUGGUGUAGGCCAGCAGCAACAGCUCCGAUUAGACCCCUAGCCUGGGCACCUCCAUAUGCCACGGGUACGACCUUGAAAAAGGGACAAAAGCCAAAAAAGAAAAAAAAAAAAAAGAAAAA